rnacentral:rRNA from 1 species
AACGAACGCUGGCGGCAUGCCUAACACAUGCAAGUCGAACGAGACCUUCGGGUCUAGUGGCGCACGGGUGCGUAACGCGUGGGAACCUGCCCUUAGGUUCGGAAUAACUCCCCGAAAGGGGUGCUAAUACCGGAUAAUGUCUUCGGACCAAAGAUUUAUCGCCUUUGGAUGGGCCCGCGUUGGAUUAGCUAGUUGGUAGGGUAAAAGCCUACCAAGGCGACGAUCCAUAGCUGGUCUGAGAGGAUGAUCAGCCACACUGGGACUGAGACACGGCCCAGACUCCUACGGGAGGCAGCAGUGGGGAAUAUUGGACAAUGGGCGAAAGCCUGAUCCAGCAAUGCCGCGUGAGUGAUGAAGGCCUUAGGGUUGUAAAGCUCUUUUACCCGGGAUGAUAAUGACAGUACCGGGAGAAUUAGCGCCGGCUAACUCCGUG